rnacentral:rRNA from 1 species
UACGUAGGUGGCAAGCGUUGUCCGGAUUUACUGGGUGUAAAGGGCGUGUAGGCGGAGCAGCAAGUCAGAAGUGAAAUCUCUGGGCUCAACCCAGAAACUGCUUUUGAAACUGCUGCCCUUGAGUAUCGGAGAGGCAGGCGGAAUUCCUAGUGUAGCGGUGAAAUGCGUAGAUAUUAGGAGGAACACCAGUGGCGAAGGCGGCCUGCUGGACGACAACUGACGCUGAGGCGCGAAAGCGUGGGGAGCAAACAGG